UGCGGUUCUCAGGUGAUGCACCCCGGAAUUGGGCUCCCUCCUCUCUGGUUCUGGGUGCAUCACCCAAGAACUGCA
rfam:Myotis lucifugus cont2.42237, whole genome shotgun sequence.